rnacentral:rRNA from 1 species
CCUACGGGAGGCUGCAGUGGGGAAUAUUGCACAAUGGGGGAAACCCUGAUGCAGCGACGCCGCGUGAGUGAUGAAGUAUUUCGGUACGUAAAGCUCUAUCAGCAGGGAAGAAAAUGACUGUACCUGUCUAAGAAGCCCCGGCUAACUACGUGCCAGCAGCCGCGGUAAUACGUAGGGGGCAAGCGUUAUCCGGAUUUACUGGUUGUAAAGGGAGCGUAGACGGCAGCGCAAGUCUGGAGUGAAAUCCCAGGGCUGAACCAUGGAACUGCUUUGGAAACUGGGCAGCUGGAGUGCAGGAGAGGUAAGCGGAAUUCGUAGUGUAGCGGUGAAAUGCGGAGAUAUUAGGAGGAACACCAGUGGCGAAGGCGGCUUACUGGACUGUAACUGACGUUGAGGCUCGAAAGCGUGGGGAUCAAACAGGAUUAGAUACCCCAGUAGUC